GCCCAGUGAUGAGACCAAGGCGAAUAUGAGCUCACUGAAUGAGAGCCGGGUUCUUGUUGCCUUUACUGGCAGGUAAUCUUGGCAGUGCAGAGGAGGAUUUCUGCUCUGCUGUAAGGGCCUGCCGACAGAGACUUAGCUCAGCCAGCAUUAUUCCUCUACAGUUACCGUGGAGUAAUGGCUUGGGUGAUGCUGACAGUGUGUGUGUGUGUGCGCGUGUGUGUGUGUGUGUGUGUGUGUGUGCAGAAGGCAAAAAGUUCACCCGGCUCUCUUUGAUGUUCAGUGAGCUAUGACUGUCGUCUUUGGUAAUCUGAGGGCA
rnacentral:snoRNA from 1 species